ensembl:lncRNA
GAAGCGGUUUCAUUCUGUUCAGCUGCAGGCCACCACCAGGGGAAGUUCCUUGAUAUCUUUGUUGAGUAUCCCAGGUCUGUGUACGAUCCCAGGGUGCUGAAAACAGCCGUAUUUACACUGGCCGCCUGUAUCCACCUGCAGGAAAAUGCAUCCUGGGAGAUGGUGGGUAUCCUUGUUUGAGUGCACCCAUCUGCCUCAUCACACCAUACAGAGAGCCUGUACAGAAUCCUGAACAGGUUUGUUUCAACACCAAUGAUGCUCGUGCACGGAACAUUGUUGAGAGAGCCUUUGGGAUGCUGAAGACGAGCUGGCACUCCAUCUUCUUCUUCAAGGCCCUGGAAGUGAGCCCUGCCUUUGUGCCAGACGUUGUUAAAUAAUUUUAAAUGUGACUUGGUGUAUGGGUAUUUCUCUAAAGUGUGGCACCCAUUCUCAUUCAACAUUCUUCAGAUGUAAAGAUGUUGCUGGAAACUGCUACAAAAUCAGUGUGCAUACAAGUGCUUCAAGAAAAAGUUACUCAAUGUCACAUAUUAAGCACUUUGCAACUGACAAAAUAGCUACUGUAAAAACCUGGAAAUUAAUAUUAUAAUAAAAAAUAGCAUAAAUCAGUGAAGAUCCAAACAUAAAUACAUGUAAAGAGUGUGUAGUUAAGAUUAAUUUUCAUUUGUACACUUACUCGAGCCCUUUAUGUGUUAGAAUAAGGCCUAGCCUAUAACGCAACAAUAAGCCACCUUUUCAACCAUUUUAUUUUUUAUGGCAUAAUGCACACUUCGUUAAAUGUAAUUAAAUAUUCCAAGUUAAUAUCCUACUUUUUGUACGAUUUCUAGAUUUUCAUGUCACAGUUUAAGCCUAUUCUUGAUUUCUCACAACUUCUUUUUUUCCCAGUUACAAUGUUUUAAUCAGAACACUAGAAAUACAGUGUAUUUAGUAAAACAAGUCAAAUCAAAUUAAGUACAUUUUUAUUAAACUAAGUAAAAUCACAACCUAUCACAAAAGGUCACUGAAUCUCUAUCAGAAGUGACAGUGCAGUGUAGCAGAUGAACAAUUCCUUAGCAAUUUGCCAAUAUUAAGCUAUAUCCUUGAUGACUCUACAAGGGGAAAGAAGAAAUGGUUUAAUGAAAAGUUUUUAAAAAGCAGGAUUUCAUUUUAUACCAUUUCUUUAAACCAGUGGUUCUCAAACUUUUUAUACCAAGUACCACUUCAGAAAAUAUUUGGCUAAGUUCCACCAUAAUGACCAACAUUAAAUUUCAGCAGCGUAGUAGGCCUAACUAUUCAGCUACAGCUCUACAGUUCAAAAAUGAGGCAGUUUUAUUCCUAAUAAGAAUAUUUAUUGUUGUCAGCCACUUUAACAUUGUAAAUACAGCAUUUGAACAUUAACACCUCACUGUGCUUACAUACAGGUAAAUGAAAAACUUAAAGAUUCAAUUAAAAUGUUUUAUAACAAAAGUUACAUAACUGUACUGCACUUAAAUGUUAAAAAAACAAAAAACCUUUAUAUUAAAAUGUAUUAACAUUAAUUUAUACUCAAUUUAGUAAUUCCUCUGCGUACCACUAGAGGGAGCCUGAGUUCCACUAAUAUUACUCGUACCACACUUUGAGAACCACUGCUUUAAACAAUCUUAAUUCAUUUAAAUUUGCAAUUAUAUAUUUCAGAAAACACAAACAGAGUAUGUUAUCUUUGAGACUAUUAUAAGAUUAAAAAAACAUAUAACACCUAAUGCAUGGCAUUCAUAUCAGGAAAAUGUGGAAAAAUCUCUAAAAGACAGACAUUAACACACAACUUACCAGCAACACAACAACAUCAGAUGAGCACCUUGAUUAUUACACCAAAAUGAGAGUAUAGUUCCUAGCCAUAUCGGCCUAGAAAAUCGUAACUUUUUAUUUUCCAUCAUCUUAGUACAUGAUGUAACUACAGAAGAGUCAAGUUUUAAAUAGGAAAAAUAUAGAAACUCUUGGGUCAUUUUUGACCAAGAUGCUAACGUUCUAAUCAGAUUCAAUUAUCUAUGCUAAGCUAAUCUAAAAGUGCUACCGCCAGACCCAGAGAUCAGCAGAAUGGAUUUGAAAACAGAAAAACUCAACUGUUUAACUCUAGGGGAGUUGGAAAAAGGUGUUCCUUUAAUCUUUCAUGAAUAAGAGCUCAAAUCAAUAGUUAGCCUACCUCUUACAGUUAGCCUGUCUUUUUUUUUUGAAGACACAAAACCAUUUCUGUAAAGUAAAUAUUGAACAGAAACCAGUCCCUCCAGGAUUUUGCGAUUCUGCGAUCACUGAAUUUAUUGCAAAAUCAAGCAAACUCCACAAUUUUCGCAAGAGCUCACAAAUUUUUGGAAUUGCCUUAUAUUUUCCACAAAUUUUGGGCUUAGACGCGUCCCGUGACGUCAUCGCAACGCGCAUUAAGUCAAAGAAAGGUUCCAAAAAUGGAAUGAACAACCUUGCGUUCACUUCAUGAUCGAUUUACAAGAGCUAUAUUGGACAAACAAACCGAAAGCGGAACGAAUCCGCUCUAUUCCUUUGUGCUAUGCAGAGCAGAGCGUUUAUCUGCUCAGGCCGGAGCCGUGGGCUGAUUUCAAUCACGCGACGUGACACCAUUAUACUAAGCGGCAACCUCCCGCUCUCUUUCUUGAAGCCAACAAGGAAGUGACUAAAACUGUAAUUCAUCGACUGGCCGCUUGAGGCUGGCUGCAAAAGGGAGUCAGUCCCAUAGACUCCCCAUGUUAAAAUGCCCAACUUUACAGCAGAAGAAACAUGUUUACAGCCUGGUUCAAAAAAUGAUUUUGGUCUAUAUAGCUAAUUUUGCCCUUCAUGACAACUGUGAGGGGGGUGAAUUUUUUUUAUAACUCAUCCGUUUAAAUUAUAUUAAGCCUUAAAGUUCUGCAUAAUUAAGGGCGUGGCCACUUGAGUGACAGGUGGAUUGCCGCUGCUGACAAUGCCGUCGCGCUAGGUGGGCGUGGCUUCAGCUACCAGCUCCCGCCUUUUUGCCCAUUUUCGUUUAUCCGGUAGAGUCACGCGGUGAUAUGCUGCCAAGAUGGCGACGGCCCGCUCUGCACACUUUGAGCUUCAAAACCGCUCUUCAGGAGUCUACGGGUGACGUCACGGACACUACGUCCAUGUUUUUAUACAGUCUAUGCAUUAUACAUAGCACAUGGAAAUAGGCCUACAGUGAAGAAAGCAGUCGAAUUCAUCACAGAAUCAAUUACAUCUCUGUGAAAUCUUGUGAGAAGCAUUCAAAUUCAGUGCUGAAUUCUGCUAAAGCUCAGAUAUCAGAACCAAUGCCGCCACUGAUGUGGAAGCCAGGAAAAACAUUGUUCAAUAAACACAAAAUCUCCACCAUUUAACAGUAAAACUACAGGAACGACUUGUGGCAGAAAUGGUCUAAUGUUUUUGAGUGUUUUUAAAUGCCUGACACAACUUUUUCCAGCACUUCAAAGCUUUAAGUAUUACCGAAUUUGAAAGUUAUUUUUAAUGGGAUGACAUUAUUUGUUCAUCCUUCAUUUAUUUAUUUAUUCAAUUAUAUUUAGACAUUGUGAAUGACAGUAAUAAAAGUUAAUUUUAUCUGCAUCUCAACUACCUAGACAGCACAAAUACAUCUGUAAGACGUCUGCUAAUAAUCUGGGAAACAUCUGCUGUGUAAUUUGAUAAACGUCUUAGAAGCAGUUUUACAUGCAUUCUAAUAAAUGUCUAUUUGACAUCUGACAGGAAACGUCUUAGAUACGUAUUGCAGAUGAGCAAACACUCUAAAAAACAAAACAAAAAACAUAUUGCAUACAUAAACGCAGACAUCAAAUAGACAUCUCCGUGAAUGAGUACAUGUGUGAUUAGGGUGAGUGCUUUACUGUGAGGUUCUGGGGCCAUCUUCUGUAGAACUUAAUUGCACUGGUGCUGGUGUCCUCAAAUGUUACUCUGGAUCCCUACAAUGGUUGUUGAAGUCCGAAAAGUCAAAACAAUGUUAGAAGAAUGUUGUCUGUGGCAUAUUUUCACUGCAAAACAAUAAGAAAUGCGCAAAUAUCACCACAAAUUUUGAGAAAAGCCGCAGCAAAAUCAGUCAUUUUAGGCCUCAAAAAUCUGAAAAAAGUCCCACGAUAUCCUGGAGUGGACUGAGAAACGUUGUCAGUUACAUGUAAGAAAGUGUCAGGAAGAGUUGUAUGUAUUAUUUCUGUGAUUUUAGUGUCUAAACUUACCUUAAAACGCAUCAAAGUUACCAGCGUUUACAUAAAUAGUACAUAAAAGUCAGAUAAAAUGUCCUGAAACUUGAUCACGUAUUGUUUAAGUGGAUAGCAGGCCUACAUCAAACUGUAUAAAUUCAAUGCGAAUAUGAAAGCAGUUUUGCAAAACAUAGUUUGAAGUCAGUUUAGAUAGAUAGAUAGAUAGACAUAGAUAUAAUAUAAUUAUAAUACAUUUAAACCGUAAAUCUUUAGUCUAGAAAAAGACUAGAAAUAGUGUUCCUGUGGUUCAGUGGUAAAGCAUUGCGUUAGCAGUGCAAAAGGUUGUGGGUUUGAUUCCCAGGGAACACGUUAGGUAAAAAUGUUAGCCUUAAUGCACUGUAAGUUGCUUUGGAUAAAAGCGUCUGCUAAAUGCAUAAAAAAAUAAAAUAAAUAAAAUUAGGAUGCAUUGCAAAAACACAAUGAUUACAAAUAUAUCAUAUGAGGCAUGAAUAUAAUUUCACAAACACAUAAUUAAACACGCAACAUGAGCUUUAUGUGCUAUGCAUUUUUAAAAUAUAUUUUCAAAUUAUCACAUAUAUGUUUCACAUAUAUGUGGAUAUAUUACCCUUCUGUAUGGGACCUCUUUAAAAGUUUUUAAUUUCCUUGUUUUUAUUGUUGUGAUUAUUUUACAUGAUUAUUUUAAUUCCUUUUAUGUAAAGCACUUUGAAUUACCAUUGUGUAUGAAAUGUGCUACAUAAAUAAACUUGCCUUGCCUUGAGCCAACUUAUAUAGAGGUCAGCUAUUGCCCAUUCUGGUGGACUAAAGCGCCAUUGGUUUGUGCAGCUAAACAAACGUUAACAAAUCAGGCUUCAGUACCAGGGUAAACAGAAGUUGUUCCCGUAUGCAACACUCAUUUUCUUCUCAGGGAACCGAGGUUACGUCAGUAACCAGAGCAUUUUAUUCUCAUGUCUCAUCCUGAAAACAAGUUCACUUCUGCUGAAAAGGUCCGAUGAAAAACUCCCUCCGGUCUUUAUAAACAUCCAGAAGUGAAAGGAAUUUCAGAGCUGCUGUUCAACACGACAGUUCAGAUCAGGAAAAGAAAAAAUUUCAAAUAUUAUCGGAGCUCUGCCCCUCACCUCUGCCCUGGACUCCUGGUUGGCCACACACAAGGUUCCACUUCGAGCGGGCAGAACUGUCCAUCUUGCCUACGCUUAUUUCACUCAUCCCCCCCCCCCUCACUGCAGCUACCUGCCCUCGCCUACAUUUCAGGCAAGGCAAGGCACAUCUCAAACAAGCCUAAUAGAUGUGUCCCAAUGUGAAGUGCACGGACUCUGAAGGGCACAUUUGAAGUGCGAUUGCGUCAUAGCGACGUGACGAAGGCUGUCCCAAACUAAAGUGUGCAUACUACGAAUUGCGCAUUUGAAGUGCGAUUGCAUCACAGCGUCACGACAUAAGCUGUCCCAAUUCAGGAUGUACCCUCCGAAGACCACAUUCCAAGGCCGAUUGCGUCACUGCAGUGCGACAAAAGCUGACGUAUUUUGAAAGCUACUUCAAAUGCACCCUCUGUUUCCCAGGAAAAUGAAGUGUACUGCUGCGUUCCAGGCAUGAUUUGAGCCCGUAAGUCACGACUUCAAACCACGACUCACGACUUUGUGGCAUUCCAGGCAAGUCACGCCAAAUUGCCUGAGCGCAAGGAAUGGUAGCUAGAUUAUUAAUUUUAUUGCAACGUUAUAUUGUCCUAAAGUCUAUUUCUCAGCGUGUACCACUUGCAUAAACCCCGCAUCCGUAGGCAAUAUUAUCCGUAGGGCUGCCAUUGUUGUUUCGCGGGCUAUGUGACGUCAGAGCUCGGAACCGGGAGUACAUCGAUCUAGUACAAGCUCAUGGGUUUGACUGCCAUUCCAGGGCACUUUCACGGGUAGAAGGUUGGAAAAACACGGGUUACGGGUAGCCUGGAACGCGGCAUACAUCUGAUGGACACUUUGCACCCUACCAUAUCCCAGAAUCACUAGUGCAGAUGAUGACAGUGUUUAUAUUAAAAGAACACUGGGGGUGAGAGUUCUGUGGGGGAAUUCACAUUGAAAUGGCAAACAAAGUAGUUUCGCUUACACAAUGAAACACAGCAUCACACAUGGUGGGUUAGAGUGAGCGGAGGCCGGCUUGAGAACAGUGCGGCCGGCGGAUUCGACGAAGGAGCUUGCGGCAACCACAUUUGAUGACCCUGGACUCUGCUUCGUCCACGGUGAAAGCCAAUC